UGCUCCAUGGCCGGGCGGCUGGAGCGGCCUUCCCCGGCCGCAGGAGCGGGGCAGCCCGGGGCCAGCCCGGGGACAGCCGGCCGGGUGGAGCAGGGUGGAGGACCGGGAAAAGGGCUUGAGAGAGAGGCCUCGACCGCCGGGCGCUGCCCUGCCAGGAGGAGAGCAGAGCAGGGGGAAGCAGUCUCUGCGUGGUCCUCUGCCGAUUGCAUCGGGAAAGUCAUUAAAAAGAAUUAAAAAGGAAACAGAAAGAGACAGAAGAGGGGGAAAAAAACCCUACACAGCCCCAAACAGUUAUAAACUCGAACAAAAGAACAACAGGAUCUUUCUGCUCAAAGCUCUGGGCCACCCUCACCUUGACUGCAAAGGACAGCAGUGCUCCAGUGACUUACUGGGAGAACGGAAGAAAGCCUUGGCUGUAUUUCUGCUGGGAUGGUGGUGAUAUGGAUUAUGGGGCUGGUUGUGAAAGCUAUCAUCUGAUUGUUCAGAUGGGGAAUAUAUAUAUAUAUAUAUAUAUAUACAGGAUUAAGUUAAUAAGUUAAUUACACAUAGUUGACCCAUCCAUCUGCUGAAAUUGGCAAUGGCUUCUAUCCUGGCUAUUGGAGAGGGAAUAAUAUGUUAGAUACCAUCCUGGGGGGCAGUGUCUGUCCUCCAUUUUGCUGUGCGAAAGUAUCAGUCUCUGUUAGCAGCUCUUCUGGGGAGCAAAAGAAUGGGAUGGAACACCUGGUUCCUCCUGUCCUGUCUCCCAGGAGGAUUUGCCUUCCAAGGUUAUGGGGUUGUGACUGGUCUGGGAAGAUCUGGUUUAUAAUCCAAAUUUAGUAACAUAAAGGUUUUCCCCAAAUAGUUGCCUAAUUUUGAGUUUGUACUGAGAUACAGAAGUCUAGGCUCUUUCAGAGGCCAGCCACUAAUUUGUUCUGAAUCAUGACUGGACAUGGUCAGUCACCUUUAAAAUGCUUGAUAUUUGAGUUCUGGAUGACUGCUUGCAACUUGGAGCCUGUAAAACUCUGUGGAGGGUUGUCCCAAGAUCCUCACCAUCUUCACUUCCCUCAGCUUCUGCUUCAAUGCCAGUCUGUGACUGCCUGAACAUGUCCUUUCAGGACUCUGGGGCAAAGGCAGAAACUUUAAGAUAGCAGUGAGGUAAUUUUUGCUGCAGUGAGAGCAGCCUGUAGGCUGGGGACAGAGAUGGUGAUGGGAGAGGCUGGCAGAGAUUAGUUGAAGAAUCUCAUUCUGAAGCCCUACGGGCCACACACUUGCCUGGGUCUGACACAGUCACUGGUUCAGGUUCCUUCUCAAGCCAUCACACAAACAGCAGCAUUUCCCCUGGGUUUAUUUCUGCAUGCUUCAGAUGAGUUGGAUUUUCUCACCCAAAGAUUGGCCUCAGGAAAGCUCCUGGACCAUUUUCCUAUUAGCCCUCCUUGUUAGACUCUCACUGAGGUAGUCUGUAGCUGCAGAUGUUCCUGUGCAUCCGUUACCAAGGCUCAGGCUACAACUGUUGCAGAAAUCCUUAAAUCUAGCCCAGUGGAUCCCCGUGAACAUUGCGGAUUUGUUCCUUUAUGUCUCACCUGGUUUACCACAAGCUGAGGCAGAAUUCACAGGGGCUAACACUGGGGAGGUUCAGAUCAUAUACUGAAAUAGGUGUAGCUGCUGCAAAGUAGGGUUUUCAUUGGUGGUGCCCUUAGUAGCUUGCAUUACCUUAUUUACAUGUAUAUUCUGGAAUCUACUGUACAUUAAUAGGGGUCCCUGCAUUUAUACCAUUAGCUGUGUUCUUCUAGGUGUAACUGUGUCUGUGUUGUUAAAACUUGCAGGUUUAUCUUCAUGCAGAUUACCAGUAUUGGGGUAAAAGGCUAUCACUCUGAUGUAUUUACAGUUGAUUUCUUGUUCACUGGCUGAUCCUGUGGAAAUAUCUUGUUCCCAGAUAAGGUCAGGGAUGCUGGAAGGUGUCCUGAGGAGGAGCAUUAAAGCCUGGCUGUUCAGCGGGCUAGUAGCAUGAAGGUAGCUGUAAGGACAUCUUGUUGCCUGUGGUUGUCUCUUGAUGCCAACUGGGAUAGCUCUUGGAGCUGGUGGGUUGGAAGUCUUCCAAAGCAGUGGUGAGACUUAGAAGCAUGCAUCUGACUGACUUGCACUCCUAAGCCCUCUUGCUGUGGAAUAGCUGUAACUUGUCCCUAAACACGUGAAAAGCUGAAGGCAGAGGUGGGAAUGGGACUCACAUGUCCAGCAUGAACAUUGAUUUAUGGAUGGGCUACCUCAAGAGGCUGUAAGAAAACCACAAGGCUUGAUUUCACCAGCUGUUCAGGGUCUCCAGACUUCAGCUCUCUUCAAAACUCAAGCCCAGUGCACUGUUAGUGAUGAAACUCUGCAGCACAAUCAUUUGAUGAGGCCAUGAUCUUGGAAGGAUACAAAAAGAGAUGGGCUGUUUCAGGCAGAUCUUGAGGAAAUCCUGAAUUAUAAAGAAAGAAGAAUUGCUUAGCAUCCCUUCAUCCCAGGCUCUGUCUCAACUCAGGUUUCCUUAUUACUGCAAGGCAGAAGGCAGAUGCCUGCUGCUCCUCGAGGCUUUCUAGUGGAAGAAUGAAGUACAGAAGAGGAAAAUGUAAUGAUGCCAGUGCCUCGGAGAUGAUGAUGUAGUCCCUAUGUGGGCCGCAGAAAGCACUUCGAGCCGUGCUGGAGUCGUGCUGGGUGGCUCUGAUAGCAGAGCUAAUGGGAGCGAAUGGGAUGCAACGAACUGUUCUAAUGACACCAGCCAGGGAAGAGACAACACAAGAGGUUUUUUUCCUGAUGUCAACGGAGUCACACUGCAGAAGAGCCACUGCUGAUGAGGUCUAUUCCAGCCCAUGGGCCUCUAAUGACAGAGACAGUCUCUGGACAGUGAAUCAACAACCUCAGCAAGAGG